rnacentral:rRNA from 1 species
AUUGAACGCUGGCGGCAGGCUUAACACAUGCAAGUCGAGCGGAGAGAAGUAGCUUGCUACUGAUCUUAGCGGCGGACGGGUGAGUAAUGCUUAGGAAUCUGCCUAUUAGUGGGGGACAACAUUUCGAAAGGAAUGCUAAUACCGCAUACGUCCUACGGGAGAAAGCAGGGGAUCUUCGGACCUUGCGCUAAUAGAUGAGCCUAAGUCGGAUUAGCUAGUUGGUGGGGUAAAGGCCUACCAAGGCGACGAUCUGUAGCGGGUCUGGGAGGAUGGUCCGCCGCACUGGUACUGAGACACGGCCCAGACUCCUACGGGAGGCAGCAGUGGGGAAUAUUGGACAAUGGGCGGAAGCCUGAUCCAGCCAUGCCGCGUGUGUGAAGAAGGCCUUAUGGUUGUAAAGCACUUUAAGCGAGGAGGAGGCUACUUUAGUUAAUACCUAGAGAUAGUGGACGUUACUCGCAGAAUAAGCCCCGGCUAACUCCGUGCCAGCCGCCGCCGUAACAC